GGCUGUCAAUCAAAGGGAGAGAGCACGGAGCGGGGCCACGGAGUGGCGUUAAAGGAUUAUACCAAAUGCAGAGCUAACCCCUCCUCCCCAAUUACUCACACAAGGCUUUGCUUCGCACAAGAGUAACUUACUAAAAACAACAAGCCAUCAAGUCUGCAGCUUUCUGCAUCGAGAUCAGACAUUGCAAACAAAACAUACCCUGUAUUUUUCCUGUAACCAAGCAUCUUGAUGGGAGCUAUUUAAAACGAGCGGGGUAUCCUCCCCACUAAAAAAGGUUGCAAGUGACGUGAUUAUUUUUUAUUUUCUUAUUUUUUAAGACCGAUCCCGUGGUCUGACCUCCCUUUUGUUUCUGUGGCUGGGGGAGAGAGAUCUGGACAAUAUCUGCUAAUAAAUGCAUGGCUUAAGUCUCCGGCUUAUGGAAGUUCUGAAUUCGAAAUCUGAACAAGACACGUGUAAUUUCCGCCACUCAGCGAUGCUUUUCCACGGAAUCUCGGGGGGUGAGAUGCAGGGAGUUAUAGAGGAGAUGGAAAGACGGUCGAAGAUCGAGCCAGCCAACGGUGCAGGGAUAGACAUGAGGGAAAGAGAAACGACCAUGCCGUCUCUUAGCGGCGACAGGCCCGCUCUCUGCGCAGGCUGCGGGGGCAAGAUCUCAGAUCGCUAUUAUCUUCUGGCUGUGGACAAACAGUGGCAUAUGCGCUGCCUCAAAUGCUGUGAAUGUAAACUGGCUCUGGAGUCCGAGUUGACCUGUUUCGCUAAGGAUGGCAGCAUCUAUUGCAAGGAAGAUUACUACAGGAGAUUCUCCGUGCAAAGGUGCGCCAGAUGUCACCUCGGGAUCUCAGCCUCGGAGAUGGUGAUGAGAGCCAGGGACUUGGUCUACCACUUGAACUGUUUCACAUGCACGACGUGCAACAAAAUGUUGGCGACCGGAGAUCACUUUGGAAUGAAGGACAGCCUAGUGUACUGCAGGAUUCACUUCGAGUCACUGAUUCAGGGCGAUUUUCAGGCACACUUCAACCACACGGACGUAGGCUCCAAGAGCGGCGCCGCCCUGGGGAUACCCUUCUACAACGGUAUGAACACUGUGCAGAAGGGACGACCCCGCAAGAGGAAGAGUCCGGGGCCUGGAGCAGACCUGGCGGCUUAUAACGCAGCAUUGAGUUGUAAUGAAAAUGAUGGUGACCACAUGGACAGAGAGCAGCAAUAUCCUCCCACUCAGAAGACAAAACGCAUGCGCACCUCUUUCAAACAUCAUCAGCUGAGGACCAUGAAGUCUUACUUUGCCAUUAACCACAACCCUGAUGCAAAGGACCUGAAACAGCUAGCACAGAAGACCGGGCUGACAAAGCGAGUUCUGCAGGUUUGGUUCCAAAAUGCAAGAGCAAAAUUCAGGAGGAAUCUGUUACGGCAGGAAAAUGCAGGGGUUGAUAAAGCAUCUGAUGGCACAUCACUUCAAGCAGGAACACCGUCUGGCCCAGCGUCAGAAAUUUCCAACGCCUCUCUUAGUCCUUCAAGCACCUCUACUACAUUAACUGACUUGACUAAUCCUUCUAUGCCAACCGUGACGUCAGUUCUGACGUCAGUGCCUGGUAGCCUCGAAGCUCGCGAUUCCCGAAGUCCCACACAAACUACUCUCACAAACCUUUUCUGAGAACUCUUUUACACGAUUCCCAUGGAGAAGAGGAAAAUCUUAGUUUAAUUAUAACUGUAUUUUUAAUAGAUGCUUUGUACAACUGACUAACAGCACUAUGGAUCUGUACUGAAAACCGAGGCAAAUCUGGAAAAAAACAAAGUUUACAAUCUGCUACGGAGAAGCUUUGCAGAGUUAAGUUGGAUCCCCUAUUGUGUAACUGUACAGUUUUGUGGACUGAACAAGGCAAUGAAUUCAAAAUCUGAACCAUUAAAUAAAGUUGGCUAGGAAUUAUGUGUAGUUCUAAGUUUUCAAAGACUGUCAUGUGCCUUAAUACACUGUCUUAUAAACACACAAUGGACUGCAUCUGCAUUCAAUUCAGAUUUAUGAGGUCAGCUCUUACCACUUGUCCUUCUGCUGCACUGGAAGUUCAGAAACCUUUCAAAAUGUCACAGUGAAAGGUAGAGCAAGUAUUUGGGCCAAUUGAGACUGCCAUUUCCGAAGUUUGAAAUGUCCUAUCGUUAAAAGAAUGAAAAUAAUAAGCCUGGAAACUAGGUGACUUCAAGACAGAGGUCAUUUGAAAAGUG